rnacentral:sRNA from 1 species
GGGGAUGCAUCGGCUUUGACAUGUGAAUUCCCUACGUUCUUUGCAUACCAAGUGCCUUGGAAACUUGUAAAACUUCCUGAACUUUUUGAAAUGCAAACUCAAAAUCAAUUGUGAAGUCUCCGUACGCGGGGGCAUUCGCAUUCGCGUAAAUCGCGAACGUUGCCUUACCUGACAUCCGAUGUGGUAAAUGCAAUGUCAUAAACUCGGGUAUGACUACAUGUGCCGUCUGAGCACGUAGUCGAGAUUAAACAGACUCGCUAGGUGGUAUUGUUUCGCAGUGCGUUUUAUACCAUCGGCUAAAACUGGACUUUGCAGUUUGGUAACGCACUGAUAUGUAUGUAGAAAAAGUUUGUAGGCUCAUAUGGACGGCGGUUCGAAUCCGCCCAUCUCCACAC